CUUGUCAAUCCGAAGGUGGCAUUUUCUAAUCAAUCCAUAGGGCACAACGAGCGACACCCAUCAGCGGUUCAAUUCAAUGGCCUUGAUUGUAGGCAGACGACGGCUAUUCCAACUCAGAACCAGUCAACAAAGCAACAUAUCAGCAAGCCCAUGUAAAUGGGCUCCGACAAAAGCUAACAACCAUCUAACGCUCGUUAAAUCACCCUAAGCUAAGUCCAUGAAGAUGUGGACCCCUGCCGACUAUGCCAAUAGCGCUUACUACCGUACACUUACGAAACUGUAACCCAGCAGCCACAGGUAAGAGAGCAGUCCGAACCAAGAACGGCCAAGGCGCAGUUCAGCACAAGACAGCUUGGAAGCUUCCAGCUCCCACACCGACAUGUUAAUGUCGGCUUCCCUAAGAAUUUGUCUAAAUGUAGAUAGUCGACCACACUGUAGAAGGAUAAGAGACAGCAGGACUGCAGCGUGGGAACAUUUAAAAUAUCUUACGCCCACAUCGUAUGUAGGCGUUACAUCGGCCACCAAAACUUUUUGGGAUUUUUUAAGUAACACAGUAGCCCGCUUCAUUUCAGUCAGUAGAUUGUGCCUUGGUUUUUAAUUCUGCUUUACAUAUUUAGCAGGUGCAGCAAUGUGUGGAACGCAACUUCGUCCUGGUGCUACGAUCGGCAAAUCCUUCGAAUUCAAUUAAGAAAAUGUUCAGCGCCUGCAAGUGGUUUGUAGUGGAAGUGUUCAUUUACCUUGUACAAAGAAAGAUGGUUAUUACUCAGAACUCUGCAGGUCCAUUCCACUUUAAAUGGAAUUUCUCAGCCAGCGUUUGCUCUUGCUGCUGCUCGUAGAAGAUAAUAGAAUAUGUGAGUAUUUGUGAAUAAAGUGUCAACCUCGAUCUAUGAUGAUCGAUGGGACCACUGCCCCCAAUGGUACGCCAGCAACGAUUCUUCUGAUACUUCGGACCCGCAGCCACCGCCUCGACUAAUAAGAACAAUUUGCAAAGGCCGAGCCGGUGUACACAACGGCGACGACUGAUGAUCUGGCCAUAAUCGUAUGGGACAAUGUGACAAGUAAGCAAGAAAAGCUAUGCGCCUAAUUCGAACUAAAAUCGAUGUCAAUCAAUUGCAUUUGUGGAUGAUCAAUUGCCUUAUGGGCGAUUGAGUUUCGGUGUUAAA